rnacentral:rRNA from 1 species
UACGUAGGGGGCAAGCGUUGUCCGGAUUUAUUGGGCGUAAAGAGCGUGUAGGCGGUUUGGUAGGUCCGCUGUGAAAACUCGAGGCUCAACUUCGAGACGCCGGUGGUAACCAUCAGACUAGAGUCCGGAAGAGGAGAGUGGAAUUCCUGGUGUAGCGGUGAAAUGCGCAGAUAUCAGGAAGAACACCCGUGGCGAAGGCGGCUCUCUAGUACGGUACUGACGCUGAGACGCGAAAGCGUGGGGAGCGAACAGG